CAGCUCUAAGUGGGUGGUAAAUUCCAUCUAAAGCUAAAUAUUGGCGAGAGACCGAUAGCGAACAAGUACAGUGAUGGAAAGAUGAAAAGAACUUUGAAAAGAGAGUGAAAAAGUACGUGAAAUUGUUGAAAGGGAAGGGCUUGAGAUCAGACUUGGUAUUUUGCGAUCCUUUCCUUCUUGGUUGGGUUCCUCGCAGCUUACUGGGCCAGCAUCGGUUUGGAUGGUAGGAUAAUGACUAAGGAAUGUGGCUCUACUUCGGUGGAGUGUUAUAGCCUUGGUUGAUACUGCCUGUCUAGACCGAGGACUGCGUCUUUUGACUAGGAUGUUGGCAUAAUGAUCUUAAGCCAC
rnacentral:rRNA from 1 species